CCUCAGGAUGGGACUGCGUCCGAUCAGGUUGUUGGUGGAGUAAUAGCCCACCAAGCCUGUAACCGGUACGGGCCGUGAGAGCGGGAGCCCGGAGAUGGAUCCUGAGACAAGGAUCCAGGUCCUACGGGGCGCAGCAGGCGCGAAAACUCCGCAAUGCGCGAAAGCGUGACGGGGUCACCCCGAGUGUCACCUGCUGAAGGUAACUUUUCCUCAGUCUAACCAGCUGAAGGUAAUAAGGGGAGGGCAAGUCUGGUGUCAGCCGCCGCGGUAAUACCAGCUCCCCGAGUGGUAAGGACGAUUAUUGGGCCUAAAGCGUCCGUAGCUGGCUUGAUAAGUUUCCCGUUAAAUCCGACGAUCCAAUCGUCGGGCUGCGGGAAAUACUGUUAAGCUAGGAGGCGGGAGAGGCCGGCGGUACUUUUGGGGUAGGGGUGAAAUCCUAUAAUCCCAAGAGGACCACCAGUGGCGAAGGCGACCGGCCAGAACGCGCUCGACGGUGAGGGACGAAAGCUGGGGGAGCAAACCGGAUUAGAUACCCGGGUAGUCCCAGCUGUAAACGAUGCGGGCUAAGUGUCGGGAUGGCCAUAGAGCCAUCUCGGUGCUGCAGGGAAGCCGUUAAGCCCGCCGCCUGGGGAGUACGGCCGCAAGGUUGAAACUU
rnacentral:rRNA from 1 species